GACGAACGCUGGCGGCGUGCUUAACACAUGCAAGUCGAACGGAAAGGCCCUGCUUUUGUGGGGUGCUCGAGUGGCGAACGGGUGAGUAACACGUGAGUAACCUGCCCUUGACUUUGGGAUAACUUCAGGAAACUGGGGCUAAUACCGGAUAGGAGCUCCUGCUGCAUGGUGGGGGUUGGAAAGUUUCGGCGGUUGGGGAUGGACUCGCGGCUUAUCAGCUUGUUGGUGGGGUAGUGGCUUACCAAGGCUUUGACGGGUAGCCGGCCUGAGAGGGUGACCGGCCACAUUGGGACUGAGAUACGGCCCAGACUCCUACGGGAGGCAGCAGUGGGGAGUAUUGCACAAUGGGCGGAAGCCUGAUGCAGCAACGCCGCGUGCGGGAUGACGGCCUUCGGGUUGUAAACCGCUUUCGCCUGUGACGAAGCGUGAGUGACGGUAAUGGGUAAAGAAGCACCGGCUAACUACGU
rnacentral:rRNA from 1 species